rnacentral:tRNA from 1 species
AGGUCUGUAGCUCAAUUGGUAGAGCAUCGUGUUGAUAACGCGGUGGCAGUUGGUUCAAAACCAACCAGACCUA